GGCCAGAAAGGUUGUAAACUGCUUUUGUAUAUGAAUAAAAAAUUCUACUUUGUAGAAAAAAUUGAAGGUAAUAUACGAAUAAGUAUCGGCAAACUCUGUGCCAGCAGCUGCGGUAAGACAGGGGAUACAAGCGUUAUCCGGACUUAUUGGGUUUAAAGGGUGCGUAGGUUGUUUUUUAAGUCAGUAGUGAAAUAUGACAGCUUAACUGUCAAACUGCUACUGAUACUGUCAAACUAGAGUGAGGUAGGAGUAACUGGAAUGUGUGGUGUAGCGGUGAAAUGCAUAGAUAUCACACAGAACACCGAUAGCGAAAGCAGGUUACUAGAUCUCAACUGACACUGAGGCACGAAGGCAUGGGUAGCAAACAGGAUUAGAUACCCUGGUAGUCCACGCAGUAAACUAUGAUCACUAACUGUUGGAUAUAAAAUAGAAAUCAAAUAUUCAGUGGUUAAGCUAAAGUGAUAAGUGAUCCACCUGAGGAAUACGAUCGCAAGAUUGAAACUCAAAGGAAUUGACGGGGGCCUGCACAAUCGGUGGAGCAUGUGGUUUAAUUCGAUGAUACGCGAAGAACCUUACCAAGACUUAAAUGUACUACGCAUAAACUAGAAAUAGUUUAGUCUUAGGACGGAGUACAAGGUGCUGCAUGGUUGUCGUCAGCUCGUGCCGUGAGGUGUAAGGUUAAGUCCUUCAACGAGCGUAACCCCCAUUAUUAGUUACCAGCGGUCAUGCCGGGCACUCUAAUAAAACUGCCAGCGCAAGCUGUGAGGAAGGUGGGGAUGACGUCAAAUCAUCACGGCCCUAA
rnacentral:rRNA from 1 species